UCUUCAGCAACUAAUUGUGGACCACAAUCAGUUAAUUAGUACAAAAGGUCUUUGUGAUACUCCUACCAUUAUAUACCUGGAUUGCUCACAUAAUCAUCUUACUAAAGUUGAAGGUAUUGAAAACUGUGGAUUGCUCCAAGUACUGAAGUUAGAGGGAAAUUAUCUAAGUGAGCUUCCGUCCUUGGAAAAUCAUGUUCUACUAAGAGAAUUGCACUUGGAUGAUAACAACAUUUCAACUGUGGAAGCACUUUCUUCAUAUUGGUUGCCUUUACUACAAAACCUGACUAUCUCUCAAAACAGCUUGACAAAAGUCAUACCACUUUUUCAUUUUGUUUCUUUGGAAAAGCUAGAUGUCAGCAACAAUUGUCUUUCUG